rfam:Alloiococcus otitis ATCC 51267 genomic scaffold supercont1.1, whole genome shotgun sequence.
CGCGGGGUAGAGCAGUUGGUAGCUCGUCGGGCUCAUAACCCGGAGGUCGUAGGUUCGAAUCCUUCCCCCGCAA